AUUGAACGCUGGCGGCAUGCCUUACACAUGCAAGUCGAACGGUAACGGGCCUUCGGGUGCCGACGAGUGGCGAACGGGUGAGUAAUACAUCGGAACGUGCCCGAUCGUGGGGGAUAACGAGGCGAAAGCUUUGCUAAUACCGCAUACGAUCUACGGAUGAAAGCAGGGGACCGCAAGGCCUUGCGCGGACGGAGCGGCCGAUGGCCGAUUAGGUAGUUGGUGGGAUAAAAGCUUACCAAGCCGACGAUCUGUAGCUGGUCUGAGAGGAUGAUCAGCCACACUGGAACUGAGACACGGCCCAGACUCCUACGGGAGGCAGCAGUGGGGAAUUUUGGACAAUGGGCGCAAGCCUGAUCCAGCCAUGCCGCGUGCAGGAUGAAGGCCUUCGGGUUGUAAACUGCUUUUGUACGGAACGAAAAGCCUUCUUUUAAUACAGGAGGGUCAUGACGGUACCGGAAGAAUAAGCACCGGCUAACUACGUG
rnacentral:rRNA from 1 species